rnacentral:siRNA from 1 species
GAGGAUUAGCAACGUUGGUGCUGC